rnacentral:rRNA from 1 species
GAUGAACGCUGGCGGCGUGCCUAAUACAUGCAAGUCGAGCGAACAGAUGCGGAGCUUGUUCACCAGACGUUAGCGGCGGACGGGCGAGUAACACAUGGAUAACUUACCUACAAGAUUGGGAUAACUUCCAGACAGCGGCGCCAAUUCCUGCUAAAUUAGACAUCGGCAUGCUUCAAUAGUGAAAGACGGUUUUCCCGUCCUAUAUAGAUGGGACCGCGCCGCAUUAGCUAGUUGGUAAGGUAAAGGCCUACCAAGGCAAUGAUGCGUAGCCGACCUGAGAGGGUGAUCGGCCACAUUGGGACUGAGACACGGUCCAAACUCCUACGGGAGGCAGCAGUAGGGAAUCUUCCGCAAUGGACGAAAGUCUGACGGAGCAACGCCGCGUGAGUGAAGAAGGUCUUCGGAUCGUAAAGCUCUGUUGUUAGGGAAGAACAGCGGAUAGAGUAACUGCGCUGCGUGUGACGGUAUCUAACCAGAAAGCCACGGCUAACUACGUG